rnacentral:sRNA from 1 species
UGUGGUCAGCAACAAUUGUUGCACACGCCUAGGCUGAAAUUCGUGUGUAGAAAUAUUUACAUGUCAAAAGUAGUCAAAUAGUUUCAACUAUAUAUUUGAGGCUAUAUAUUUUGCUCAAAAGGAAAUUUAUUCAAUGGAAAUAAAUUUUUAUAUUAGUAGGUUGUGUGACAAGAGCUUAGAGUAACACCAAGUUACAUGAUAAAAAUUAAAUCCAAUUACGAUUCUAUGGUAAUAGAAGUAAUUGCUCGGUAUAAAACUUCACCAGAUGGACAUAAGAAUGGUGUUUUUUUUGGACCUGUAUGACAUGGGAUUCGUUAACCUUAAAACUAAUUUUAGCUUUCUAUGAUACUUAAAAGAUGACGCGGUUAAAUUUUGUAAUAAAAUGAUUGACUUACUUUUUUUAGUAAUUCAUUAUUACUCAAAUUCAACGUAAUCAAUCAUGACUAAUAACGCGUCAUACAAUUGCAUAUGACAUAAUUUACUUUGCACCUUUAAGGUGAAUCAAUGGAGUGAAGUGCAUGUAAUUCAAUUAGGUCAUUUUUGUUUGUCGUCCAUGGUGAUGGUGGUUACUCGGUGCACACAUUAGUUUCUAAUAUCAAGUUGGAUUUUUAUAAUUUCAAACUAUUAUUUCAUAUUAUUAUUAUUAUUAUUAUUAUUAUUAUUAUUAUUAUUUGAAGUUUUGAAUCCUCUAAAUACCAAAAUAAGGUACAAUAUUUUUAGUAUCUGCAAUUGGAAGGCAGGACUACUCACUAUAAUGCAACAAUAGCUGAAUAGUUACAAGUGUAUGAAAUAUGCAUUAAUUAAUUAAAGAUUUGUUUAUUCAAUUCGGAGCCCCAAAAAUUGCUGUUUGCUUACAAAAUUCCCUUUCCCAUGCAUUGGUUUUUUUUUUAUUUUAUAUUUUUCUUAAAAUUAAUGUUAGAAUAUUAAAUGGUGAUCACAUGGAGAUUGGGGUGCAAGUUUCAAAGAUUGUUGUAUGGAAGGUAUAAACCCUAAGGGGGUGGCUUAACUUUUUGACAAAGUUGGGUCAAUAAUUGAAGCUUCUUUUAUUUAUUAUUAUUAUUUUUGUAAUGACAUAUAUAUUAUUAAGUAAAUUUUACAUGUAAGAAAUUAACUUGGCUAGUAUUUUCUUUAACGUGAUCUAUUGUUGUUACAAAGGAUUUGGCUAAUAGUAUAAAUACGUUCUUAAACAGAUUCAAUCCUCAGAUUUGGUAUACAAUGUGGCCUAACUCAAAUUAUAUUUUUAAACAGGUAGGUAGAAAUCCACAACGAGGGUGAUUGUAGGCCGAAGUCCAGCCCUACACACCCAUUUUGACACAUUAGGAAAUAUAGCGAUGAUCUAGUGAAGAAAUGAUAAAAAGAAGAUAUGUGGUGGAUGUUGAAUUUAUUUAAAAUAAUAUUGGUUAUUGAGUUAUGUAAUUUAAUUGAGCAAGUAUAACCCCAACCUCUAGUUUGUAGCAGGUGUACUUCUGCUUUCGUUGGACUCAAACAAUCAAAUUCUUGUUAGAACCCAAUAUUAGUUAAUACAUUAAAAGAAAAAAAGAAAAUGAAAUGAACGGAUAAAAAAAUAAUAAGAGAAAAGCAAGAAUACAAAAAAGAAUAUCCAUGCAAAAAUUAUGGAAGGGGUUAUGGACUACUUGCUGUAAAUUUAAAGUAGGAAUUUGAGUGCUUCUGAGGAGCUUGAUAAUUACUUGACUUUACUAUUCGAAUAAUGUUCCUUGAACAUGGCAUUUGACAAGGAUUGAUGAUAGGCGUGUGUGGCUGUUUUUCUUUUUUUUCGUUAACUAUUUAAUGAAAAAAUGACACGUGUCCCCUACUUAAAAAUUCUAUUAUUUAACCUAUUCAUAUAGCAUGUUGUUCCUAUUUAACAAAACUAUUUUAAUAUUUAUACGAACUAGAAUCUUUUGAAGAAACCUGAUGGACUUUAGCUUUGUCACUUGUCAACCUUCGAAUCGGGAUGGGACUCAGCAUUUCCAACAGACUUCGUUGCACACGUUGAAGGCACAAAAUCAAAGCCUUUCCAAACAAAAGGCGUGGAGGUCAUGAUUGUAGGCGCUCCGAUGCUCAAGUUAGUGAAAUGAGUUAUAAAGUACAUUGGGUGCAGGAGUGACACGAAAGGAGAAUCUUGUUACACUGAUACCAAUCCCUAUGUUUUUGUUGUCGCAGCCUUUUGUGUACUCAAAUACGCACUCUCAUAAUGGAUUUGUUAUAAAUGUGUUGAGCUAGUAUUUUGAGUGAUCCUUUACUAAGUAAUUGCAAAUGUUGGGCGCGGAAGCUCCAAUAACACACGUUGAUUCCAAACCAGAUUAUAAAGAAUGAGAUUUAAUGAUAAUAUUGAAGUAUACUAGACCACGCCACGAAAACACAAGAUUGAACUUGUAAAUAAAGAACACAAAGGAUAAACGUAGAGGAACGAUGUUUAUUAAUUCAAUAUUAUGGAAAAUACAAGACAGAUUAGCAAAACUGCCUCUAUGUUACUCUCUCUACAAACUGACCAGAGGAGCCUCGUAUUUAUAUGCCAACCCUAGAAGAGUUCUAAAAGACAAGAAAAUAUAUUACAAUUAGGAGAUCCAUUUUCAACAGGAUUUUGUUUCAUUGUUCAACUUAGUUUCCUUAAACCCUAGGUUAAUAUUCUCGAAUUCGCCUCUUCAAAAGGCUCCUAUUUGAGUCAUACUCCUAACAAUCUCCACCUUGAUUCAAAUUUCGGUGCUACGGAUGAAACUUGUAGAUUUCAAAUUCAUCUUCAUCGAAAUUAACAGGCUGAAUCUCCUCAACAUAGUAACCACUCCAUAUAAACCAAACACUCGUCCUCUACACGACAUCCACAAUCAACACCCGAACCCAAUUCCUAGGGUUCCCAAUUCCACCAAGGAAUUAAUGUUGAUCACACAUGGUCGAAACACACCCUGCAGCAAGAACCAAACCAGGUGCUUGAUCAGAAGACUUCUUCUUGGAACCGUAGCCUUCAACGCCCUUAGAAGCAUCCCAAACAUUACUGACACCACAGUACGUACGCUCGGUGAGUCCUACCCUAGCAACUGAACACAGUGUAUUCGCUAAAAUUGGUGGCAAAGCGGAAUCACUAACUCUCUCCCUAACAGUGUUUUGAAUCGACUCAGAGCCCAACACAAGAGGUACUGUAUCAAACUGAAUUUCCACCACGGUACUAAACUUGUCCAAAUGUCUCCUCUUAACUGGUUCUGCACUCCCCUGCAAAAUGUACAACUGGGAUCUUUUCCGUCCGUCCAGUGCAACUCGGACUCCCUUUCGGACUUUCAAGACUCCGUCUGCUCCAGGGAAUUUAUACCCUUUUACAUCCAGGGUACUUAACGAAAUGAGAUUCCUUUUCAGGUCAGGAACAUAUCGAACCUAAUCAAUCGUUCUAAAUGUUCUAUCCCCCAGCCUUAAUCUGACUCAAUCGAUUCCAACAAUACGGCAAGAUUGGUUGUUUCCCAUUACAACUCCACAUUGCUGAACAAUCUCAUAUGUCUGAAAUAAAUUCCUAUCGGAAUACAUAUGGUGCUAACAUGCUGAAUUAAGAAUCCACUCCUCGUCAGGCCUAGACUCCACAUUAGAUACCAUGGUCAACAUCACCUCUUCGCUAACUGAACAAUUCUCAACUACAUUGGCUUCGUCUGAAUUCAAAGGUUGCACCCUACAAUUUAUAGCUAAAUUACCUUUAGCCUGCAACAUAUUGCAAUCCUUCCAAAUAUGUCCCUUCCUUUUGCAGUAGUAACAGGUCACAUUGUUAAAUCUAACUCUCGAUCUGCCUCUUCGUCGACCACCUUGAGAUCCAAGAGCUUCCACAUCCCUUGAUGUAGCUCCAACCAAAUGCUUCAUUUUCUCCUUUGAGUACAAAGUAUCAUAGACAUCUUCUAUAGUCAAAGUAUCUCGACUAUACAAGAUAGUAUCCCAAAACGACACAUAAGAUCCAGGUAGCAAACACAACAAGAUCAAGGCAAGAUUUUCUUCAUCGUACUUAACCUCCAACGUCUCCAGAUCUGCAACUAUUUCGUUGAAUACGGAAACAUUAUCUUCCAAUGACUCUUAUUCCGCUAUGAGAUGUGAAUACAGCUUCUGCUUGAGAGCUAAUUUACUUGUAAGACUUUUAGUUAUACACAACUGUUCCAACUUCAACCACAAAGCAGCCGCCGUUUUCUCCUUCAAGACAUCCUACAAAAUAUUAUUGGACAGAUGAAGAUAAAUCAAUGAAACAACAUUUUUUUCUACUUAGACCAAUGAUAAGUGUUUAUUUUUUAAUUUUGUUUCAAUUAAAAACCACUCAUGGUGGAAUAAUUUAUUAAGAACAAUUUGAAAAAGUAAAAAUUUAUAAAUGAAAUUUUUAAGCUCGUGAAAGAAGAAAUAUGUCAUUGUUAAAGCUUUUUUCCUAUUCAACACUGAUAGAUGCAAGUGACCAUAGGAGAAUGAAUGCAAUAAGAUUUAGAGAAGAAAACUUAGAAAAAAGAAGAGGAAGACAAAUGUUCUAAAAGUGAACCUCAGGACGAUUAAGAGUUUCGAUUGCUGUGACAGGAUUAAAUCCAGGUCCAAUUGGCAUUCAAAUACUAUGUUCAAAAACUUCCUUCGAUGUGUAGAGAUAAGGUAGAGUCUUUGUAUGUAAUUUUCAGCCUAAAAGAACAAAAUAAAUCCAUGUAAAGCAAAACAUGAACUACGAUACAUAUGAAAAGUGUACAAAUGCAUGAUUUCCUUGAAUAAACAUUGGAACAUGUAUAAUAAGUGUGACUUGGGAAUGCAAGCCCUCACUCCAUUUUCAUGAAGAAGCCACUAAAGCCUACUCAUCUACUUGAGUAAGAGCACUGACCAAGAACGAUAAUCCUAUCAAUUCAUUACAACAUAGUUUACUUUUUACGGCGUGAAUUGUACGCUAUAAAAAGUUCUUUAUGGCGUAUAGGUGCAUGCCGUAUAAAGCCAUACCGUAAAUGCUCUUUAUUAUUUAUUUUGACAAUUUCUAAGGAAGAUGGUUCUUCACAGCCCCAAAAAUUGAUCAGAUCAGCCGCCACUUUGUUCUCUAUUAUAAUCAAACUCGUCUAGUAUGAAAAAGGCACAGGAAACAUAGUAAUUGUACUAGUUUUUCUCUGGUAUAUAUCACCAUUUGUGCUAGUUAAGUUUUCCUCGCAACUGUUGUCUUUUAUAUCACAUAAUGAUGUAUUGUUCAAUUCAGAAUGUGAACAAGAUUGUACAUUUUCUCUUUUCAAACCUUCAACUAGAAAAAUAUCAUGCUAGGAGAAAGGAAAUGAGGAUAGAAAAUGUUUUUUUCCCCCUUAUGUCAACAGGUUCACACAAGCAUCUAAUAAUUCAAUGAGAUAUAACUUGCCUUGGUAAGGAAGAAGAUGUCGAGGAACAAGCACGUUUGGAGACAGUUCACCUGAGAAUUAUAUGUUGCAUUUGAGAUAAAACGGUAGAAAAUCAAGGUAAGAAGAGAAAUAUAAAUAUCACUGUUAUUGAUUGAGCUAGAACAAAAACAUUGUCUAGAAGUCAAUAUUCUAUUGAUUUUUGUUGGGUUUUGAUACCAAAUAAAUCCGGAAGAUGAUUUAAAACAGUUGUCGGAUAAUUUUUCGACACCAUGGACUUGGCUCGACUUGAAUACGACCGACACUUUUGGAAGGCCCAAGUUGAAGUUGGAUUGGUGGUUUGAUUAGUGUGUGGCUUUGGAUUAUUGUUGGUCCACUAACUUAGCCCAUUGAGAGAGAGAUAUC